rnacentral:rRNA from 2 species
ACGGAAGGCAGCAGUUGGGAAUAUUGGACAAUGGAGGAAACUCUGAUCCAGUGACGCCGCGUGAAGGAAGAAGGUCUUCGGAUUGUAAACUUAUUUUGUCAGGGAAGAAAACAAUGACUGUACCUGAAGAAAAAGCACCGGCUAACUACGUGCCAGCAGCCGCGGUAAUACGUAGGGUGCAAGCGUUAUCCGGAUUUACUGGGUGUAAAGGGCGAGUAGACGGCGAUGCAAGUCAGAUGUGAAAUGCUAGGGCUUAACCUUAGAACUGCAUCUGAAACUGUAUUGCUAGAGUGCAGGAGAGGUAAACGGAAUUCCUAGUGUAGCGGUGAAAUGCGUAGAUAUUAGGAGGAACAUCAGUGGCGAAGGCGGUUUACUGGACUGUAACUGACGUUGAGGCGCGAAAGUGUGGGGAGCAAACAGGAUUAGAUACCCUGGUA